GCACCAUUAUCCGGGGCUCGUGGACACAGCAAAGCUCGUGGACGCAGUAAAGUCCGAGAAUUGGCACCUGGGUGCUUCUGAUUCUCGAGUCUGCAUCUCCUGGAAUUCCGAUGCAGAGCUCUCUAGGUCCCCGGCACUUCAGGUGCUAAGCAUAAGCUCCUAGGCGUCGCACCUACCACCUCAAAUAUUUCUCAGAUAUUAAGAUCCUACCAUGUGGUCCUCUGAGCUUCGUCUCUGGUGUCGGCUUCUUCCAUUUACUCCAACCAGGAGCACAUUCGCUCAUUCAGCCAGACAUGGCAGCAUUUCAGGACUUGGGGGGGGGGGGUGAGACAGGGUCUUGUUAUGUAGUCCAAUCUCUCUUGAACUCACUAUGUAGUCCAGAAUGGCCUGAACUUGCGAUUCCCCUCCCUCAGCCUCCCGAGUUUCGAGAUUACAGUUGUGUGGCACCACGCCUGACUGCAGUGUGAUCUUUUAAAAUCCAGACCUGCCUUGCUGGUCAACCAGGACCGCGUGUUCCUUCACGAGCCCGGAGCCCGACAGCCUCUCCUGCAUCCUCACGCCGGGCUCUGGCCACGCCCCCCUGCCAGGGGCUCACCCGCGCCCCUCCUCGGCAGCUGCGCCUCGCCGGGCCUCUCCGGGCCUCGCCGGGCCCCGGGAGGGGAAGGGGCUCCACCUGCGCGCCACCUGCUGGGCCGCCCGACCUCCCGCAGACCCGGCCAGACCUCGGCGAAGCUCACGCCUCCGGGCUGCACAUCCGCGCCGGCCGCAAGCUCCAGGACGCGGCGGCGAGCCUGAGCCGCUGCGCAUGCGCGCAGGUGCGCGUGCACGCAACAGCCCGCACGCACCGGCACGCACGCGCCCGGCCAGUGAGACUAGGAAGGACAGGUUUGGGUUUGGGGUUUUUUGUUUGUUUGUUUGUUUGUUUGGGGGGGCCUUCGCGCUGAGCUGCAUCCUCGGCCCUUUUUAUUUGCCGACAGAAUCUGGAUGAGUCAGGCAAUCAUAAGCCUGGGGAAGCGUGUACUGUACUGUGUAAUAAUGAAGACAGCAGUUAUCCGCACUUUGAAAGCAAGUUUUGCAAAAUAGUUACGCACUUCCUUUGAGUCCUUUCUGGCCUCUUACUUGAGGUUCGGGUUCCCCUUCUGUGGCACAGCCUGUCCUGUGUGGACCCAGUAUGGCCGCUGAGGCUGCAGGGAGCUGUUGCGGGGCAUUUGUCCUUUCCCCAAGGUCGCUCCCUUGAAUGUGAUGAGUUCUAAUAAGCCACAUCCUGUAGGACAUCAGCACACCUUUGGGGGCAACACAGGACUGAGAUGUAGCCUGCACAGAGGCUGUCCUGGACACAGAAGCAGGUGAAUUGCUGGCCCACAAUGCAGCCUCAUAGAUCUGUGCCGAGCGGAUCCAAGGGACCAGGGUAGGUGCUGUUGCCUCCACUCACAGUGAGGAGAACAGAGCCCGGCUGUGAUGCUGCUCUGAAGAAGACCGUGCGGCUCGCGCUUAGUCGGGGAUGGGCAGGAAGCGGACGGCGGUAGGCAAUACCGGCGCUUGGGUUGGGGCUCUCAGAACUGGAGCCCUUCCUCCUGACCCCGGCCUCCCAGAGCUCCUGGUCUGAAGCUGAAAUACAGCGAGUGGGUCAGAGACCCCCAGGAAGGGCUGAGGGAGGCGCGGGCGGAGGAGGCCCUGAUCCGGAGAGCCAGCCAGUGCCCGGUACUUCUGAGAGUCCACAGCCCCAGCCCUAAAAGGAGGUCUGCUGGUUUACUUAGGAGAGGCUCCACGGCUGGCACCAGUCACUUCUGACACAUUAGAUAAAGUCUGUCAUUGUGGCAUCUGAGUUCAAGGUUUUACUUCACCUUGAGCAGGAAAACGCAUUUUGCAGCUAGAUCCAUUCACUUCCCAUGGUCUUCAUUUCUCAGAACCAGUUUAUCCAGGCCAAGGCAGACCUUCGUCCAGCCUGAAGAAAACAGCCAUUAAUGAUAGUUAACAUAUUAAUUGCAGAGUGCUUCUCUCUAAGUUUCUGUUGGCAACAAGUUGCAGCCCAGCAGAGCCAGUGAAGUGCAUCCAGCUUCCAUUUACAACCUCUGGGCGGGCUUUUCAUCUUCAUGCUUCAGGAUUUUCAUUAUUAUGGUUGCCAACAGUCCAGGCCUGUAAUUUACAAGUCAGACCCACAUGUCACUUCGAGAGAAACUCAAUCCUAAAAAUAGUCGUGAAACUCAGGAAAACACCAACCCAGAUAAAUAAAUCUCAUGUCAAAUGUAGAAAGCUUGUAAACCCUAGGCUCAGGGUUACACUAACUACUUAAAUUUCAACUGAUUUUAGCAAGUACAUCCACCAGCCCAGGGGAGGUGGCGAAGAUGCUCCCCCUCAGUGUUUUGCUUUCUUCUGUCUGUGACUGUUCAUUCAUUUCUUAGGUAAAAUACUGCUCUUUCUACAACAGCCAGGGUGAAACUUCCAUUUGGACGACAUUCUCCCAAAAUGUUGCACCAUUAAAGGCCAAGAUUCCUCUGACACCGUGUGGUGAGCUUUCCCUGAACGUGAGCAAGUGGCAGCUCCAUAGCCCACCUCAGUGGGGCGCUCUCUGGUCAGAGGUCCAAAGUGAGUUUCACUGGACAAACAUCAAGGUGUCAGUAGGUUGGGGCACUGCGACUCAAGCCUGGGUUCCUGGUACUCUGGAGGUGAAGGUGGACAAUCUGAUCCUGGGAGUUCAAGACCAACCUGGACAACACAGCCAGAGCCUGUCUGUAAAAAUGUAAAUAAAAUCAAUUUAAAAAGAAAAUAAA
rnacentral:lncRNA from 1 species